UUACGGCCAUAUCACGUUGAAACGCCGGCUCUCGUAUGAUCACCGAAGGUAAGCAACAUCAAGCCUGCUCAGUACUUAGAUGGGUGGCCGCUUAGGAAUACCAGGUGCUGUAAG